rnacentral:lncRNA from 1 species
CUGAUUUGCGAAUUAUUUCCAACUCUGAUAUGGAUGAAGCUAUAUGUUUCCUGGCCAGCUCCAGGCCUCUUCCUUGAGGUCGCUUCAUACACGCAAGUACAUGAAAAAAAUGCUGGAGGGGGACAAAAGGGUAUUAAAGACGAGCAAAUCUGACAAUUGUUCACUGCAGUACAAACUCACCACAAGAAAAUCAAUUUGCUUCAGGAGUAGACAAGAAGCAUCAGGAUUCCUAGAAAUUAGAUUCAAGUGUAGACAACUCUCAAAUCAAGAGUGGGAAAGAGACUCGCUGAUGAAGUUUGGCCUAAUCUUAAUCUUUAUAAAACAAAGGUUAGAGUUAGCUGCUCUCAUUCCGAGCACAACAAGGAAAAUCAUGCUGUUUCUCUAACAAAGCAAAAUUUCCACGAGCUAGACAACUUGAGAAAGAAAUAACUUUCAAAUGAAUGGAAACUACUGACGGGAGAAGAAAUUAAGAAAUAAACCUAAGAGGAGCUAGACAACUUGAAAAAGAAAUAACU